rnacentral:rRNA from 1 species
AUUGAACGCUGGCGGCAUGCCUUACACAUGCAAGUCGAACGGCAGCACGGGAGCAAUCCUGGUGGCGAGUGGCGAACGGGUGAGUAAUAUAUCGGAACGUGCCCAGUCGUGGGGGAUAACGUAGCGAAAGCUACGCUAAUACCGCAUACGAUCUAUGGAUGAAAGCGGGGGAUCGCAAGACCUCGCGCGAUUGGAGCGGCCGAUAUCAGAUUAGGUAGUUGGUGAGGUAAAGGCUCACCAAGCCGACGAUCUGUAGCUGGUCUGAGAGGACGACCAGCCACACUGGGACUGAGACACGGCCCAGACUCCUACGGGAGGCAGCAGUGGGGAAUUUUGGACAAUGGGCGCAAGCCUGAUCCAGCAAUGCCGCGUGCAGGAAGAAGGCCUUCGGUU